rnacentral:rRNA from 1 species
AUACGAAGGGGGCAAGCGUUGUUCGGAAUAACUGGGCGUAAAGCGCACGUAGGCGGAAUGUUAAGUUAGAGGCGAAAUCCCAGGGCUCAACCCUGGAACUGCCUUUAAUACUGGCAAUCUAGAGACCGAGAGAGGUGAGUGGAAUUCCGAGUGUAGAGGUGAAAUUCGUAGAUAUUCGGAGGAACACCAGUGGCGAAGGCGGCUCACUGGCUCGGUACUGACGCUGAGGUGCGAAAGCGUGGGGAGCAAACAGGAUUAGAAACCCUAGUAGUCC